UCACCUCUCAAAAAAAAUAAAUAAUAUAACUCAAUAACUAUAGUUUUGUACAACUCUAAUCUAAUACCACAGUCAGGGAUGCUAUAAUAAUCCAAGAGGUUCCCCUUUCUGAUACAUCAUUGAAUCGUCAUCAUUAUAUGCCAUUCAAAUAGGGAUAUUCUACCAAAAAUCCAAUAAAGUCUCCCCUAUAAAUUCAACCUUAAUUUUUAUCUAUGAAUACUGAAUAGUGUCCAACUAAAAUUUUUCUACCAACUUGGCCUCAACCAUUCCCAGCUAAUUUAGUAUUAUGAAUAAAAGUCCUAUCCACCUGUUAAUUUGCAUAUCAUUUAAAUAAAUGAGACUUGGGCACUCACUUGAUCCAUUUCUAAAAUAUGCUUCCAUUUAGGCUUAUAAUGCAUGCAAUCAGAAUAAUAAAUAUGAAAAUAAAAUUUAAACAUCCAAAAUAACACAUGAUCAUGUUCAUGCUCAUGCACAUGACCAAAAUUUCUUACAACUUACCUGUCUUUAUGUCUAGUAGGUCUG
rnacentral:misc_RNA from 1 species